UUAUUGCAUGAAAAGAGGGAGGUUGCACUCCCCUUGACAAGGACGGAAGUGACCUGCAACACACAGAGUUAAGGCCCUUCAGCACAUCUCUAACCAUGUCUUCUU
ensembl:snRNA